AUUGAACGCUGGCGGCAGGCCUAACACAUGCAAGUCGAGCGGAUGAGGGGAGCUUGCUCCUGGAUUCAGCGGCGGACGGGUGAGUAAUGCCUAGGAAUCUGCCUGGUAGUGGGGGAUAACGUCCGGAAACGGGCGCUAAUACCGCAUACGUCCUGAGGGAGAAAGUGGGGGAUCUUCGGACCUCACGCUAUCAGAUGAGCCUAGGUCGGAUUAGCUAGUUGGUGGGGUAAAGGCCUACCAAGGCGACGAUCCGUAACUGGUCUGAGAGGAUGAUCAGUCACACUGGAACUGAGACACGGUCCAGACUCCUACGGGAGGCAGCAGUGGGGAAUAUUGGACAAUGGGCGAAAGCCUGAUCCAGCCAUGCCGCGUGUGUGAAGAAGGUCUUCGGAUUGUAAAGCACUUUAAGUUGGGAGGAAGGGCAGUAAGUUAAUACCUCGCUGUUUUAACGUUACCAACAGAAUAAGCACCGGCUAACUUCGUG
rnacentral:rRNA from 1 species